rnacentral:rRNA from 1 species
GACGAACGCUGGCGGCGUGCUUAAAACAUGCAAGUCGAACGGAGUGGCGAAAGGGUGAGUAACACGUGGGUGAUCUGCCUUGCACUUCGGGAUAAGCUUGGGAAACUGGGUCUAAUACCGGAUAGUGCAAGAUGAGCUCGGGGCCUAUCAGCUUGUUGGUAGGGUAAUGGCCUACCAAGGCGUCGACGGGUAGCCGGCCUGAGAGGGUGUAUGGCCACAUUGGGACUGAGAGACGGCCCAGACGCCUACGGUAGGCAGCAGGGGGUAAUAUUGCACAAUGGGCGGAAGCCUGAUGCAGCGACGCCGCGUGGGGAAUGAAGGCCUUCUGGUUGUAAACUCCUUUCGACAGGGACGCGGUACCUGUAUAAGAAGCACCGGCUAACUACGUGCCAGCAGCCGCGGUAAUAC